rnacentral:rRNA from 1 species
CAACGAGCGCAACCCUUGUCAUUAGUUGCUACAUUCAGUUGGGCAUUCUAAUGAGACUGCCGGGUGACAAACCGGAGGAAAGGUGGGGAUGACGUCAAGUCCUCAUGGCCCUUAUAGGUGGGGCUACACACGUCAUACAAUGGAUGGUACAAAGGGUCGCCAACCCGCGAGGGGGAGCCAAUCCCAUAAAGCCAUUCGUAGUCCGGAUCGCAGUCUGCAACUCGACUGCGUGAAGCCGGAAUCGCUAGUAAUCGCGGAUCAGCAUGCCGCGGUGAAUACGUUCCCGGGCCUU